rnacentral:rRNA from 1 species
AGAAACACCGGUUCCAGUACGAUCAGCGAAGUUAAGCAACGUCGGACCUCGUCAGUACCUAGAUGGGUGAUCGUUUCGGAAUACCAGGUGCUGUAAG